UACGUAGGGGGCUAGCGUUGUCCGGAAUCAUUGGGCGUAAAGAGCGUGUAGGCGGCUCGGUAAGUCCGCUGUGAAAGUCAAGGGCUCAACCUUUGAAUGUCAGUGGAUACUGCCGGGCUAGAGUCCGGAAGAGGCGAGUGGAACUCCUGGUGUAGCGGUGGAAUGCGCAGAUAUCAGGAAGAACACCAACGGCGAAGGCAGCUCGCUGGGACGGUACUGACGCUGAGACGCGAAAGCGUGGGGAGCGAACAGG
rnacentral:rRNA from 1 species